rnacentral:rRNA from 1 species
CCUACGGGUGGCAGCAGUGAGGAAUAUUGGUCAAUGGGCGGGAGCCUGAACCAGCCAAGUCGCGUGAGGGAAGACGGUCCUAUGGAUUGUAAACCUCUUUAGGCGGGGAGCAAUGCCGGGCACGCGUGCCCGGAGGGAGAGUACCCGCAGAAUAAGCAUCGGCUAACUCCGGUCCAGCAGCCGCGGUAAUACGGAGGAUGCGAGGUGUAUCCGGAUUGAUUGGGUUUAAAGGGUGCGUAGGCGGAUGUUUAAGUCAGCGGUAAAAUGUCCGGGCUCAACCCGGGCCGGCCGUUGAAACUGGGGAUCUUGAGUGGGCGAGAAGUAGGCGGAAUGCGUGGGGUAGCGGUGAAAUGCAUAGAUAUCACGCAGAACUCCGAUUGCGAAGGCAGCAUACCGGCGCCCGACUGACGCUGAGGCACGAAAGCGUGGGGAUCGAACAGGAUUAGAUACCCCUGUAGUC